GACCCCCCACUUGGUAAGGCAACACCAAUCUUUUCACGUGCUGUAUAUCUAUACCUGCCUCCUUUUUUUCCACUCCAUGCAUCUGAUGAAGUGGGUUCUAGCCCACAAAAGCUUAUGCCCAAAUAAAUUUGUCAGUCUCUAAGGUGCCACAAGGACUUCUUGU